GCAUCCAUAGCUCAAUAGGAUAGAGUAUUUGACUUCGAAUCAAACGGUUGGGGGUUCGAUUCCCUCUGGAUGCACCA
rnacentral:tRNA from 1 species